rnacentral:misc_RNA from 1 species
UCCGGUUUGUCACCGGCAGUCUCCUUAGAGUGCCCUAACGUAGCAACUAAGGACAAGGGUUGCGCUCGUUGCGGGACUUAACCCAACAUCUCACGACACGAGCUGACGACAGCCAUGCAGCACCUGUGUUACGGCUCUCUUUCGAGCACCCCAGCCUUUCAGCCAGGUUCCGUACAUGUCAAGGGUAGGUAAGGUUUUUCGCGUUGCAUCGAAUUAAUCCACAUCAUCCACCGCUUGUGCGGGUCCCCGUCAAUUCCUUUGAGUUUUAAUCUUGCGACCGUACUCCCCAGGCGGUCAACUUCAUGCGUAAGCUUUGUUACUAAGGAAUAAUUUCCCCAACAACUAGUUGACAUCGUUUAGGGCGUGGACUAC